ACAGCUCAAGUGAUUUUGAGAGACUCGAACAUAGAUUCCCAUUUCAAUUCAGCAUAACACUAAAUAUUUUCUAUUCUGAUGUUCACUUUUAUCCCAGACAUGUCUGGUCCUCAUCAUCUUAUCAAUGGCACCACCAUGGUUCACAGAGCCCUGGCUUUAUGCUCAACUCCUCCUUUUCUUUGCUGCCCGCUUCUCCUCCAUCCUCAAGGUUCUGCCUAUGGAAUGAAUCCCUCCCUCUCUGAGUUCCUGCCCAAAGCCAUCUCCCUAGAGGAAAUCGUCAAUCCUUCACCUUCAAUUGUCACUUCCAAAUCUCUCUCUUGCCUGAGCUCUCUCAAGCGGCCAACUUGUGUCUCCAAGUAUUUGACAUCUUUACUUCAAACCCCACUCGAGUCUAUCCCUCCCACCUAAAACCACUCUCUCCCCCGCACUGUACCUUUAGUUGUGACAUCAUCUGACUUCUCUUUUGUCACAUGCCUGUCUAGUUGCUGUUGGUUUUUCUCUCUGAAAGUUCUGGAAUUCAGUUUCACUAAUUCAUUCCAUGAAUAUGUGGACGUUACUAUGUGCGAGAGGCAGGGCGAUGCGGCUGGCAGAUAGAGCAAUAGCCCAAAGUUUGUCCUUGAAUUUCAAUGUUCCACCCCCAUGCAUACCUGGGGCAAAGCAAGGCAUCUGUCAGCACAGACACUAGUUACAUCCACCAAAGAGAGAAAUCCAGGAACAUCGUGUAAAUAACCUGGUCACCCUUUGAAUGAAUUAUGCGGAAUUUGUGAACCUACUAACAAGGGAUCAUCCAGUUGGAUGGCUUCAGGGACAUGGAAAUCACUAGACUUUUAGAAACCUUCUUCGAAGUGGCAGUGCUCGUGAAGUUCUUUACCUUUACCAAAGGCAUGGCUCUCCAGAGAGCACAGGCUCCUGCACAAGAACCAGCACUUCAUCAGGAGAGGCUGCAGGUACUAAGUGAUGUCCUUGGCUCAGUUUUGUUUCCAUGGUAACUGUAUGCCACUUUUCACUAGCACGUUUCAACAUUUUCAUAACAGAGUUAAAACUAAUACACAGAACACCUCAAAAAUAAACACAAACGCAGUCAAGUCAUCUUAAAAGAAUGUGAAAUCCAUGUGUAUGUGUUGGUGGCUGCAGAGGGGGUGUGCUCCUGCUCUCACAAGAACCCGGCUUUCUUCAUUUCCAAGAAAAGUGAAGACAGGUACAAUCUGAGGAGCUUCUGAACUUAUCUUGGGUAGCCGACUGGGCACAAGUUUCAGUGAACGUAUGUUUGGCGUCUGUGUUGUAUUUUUCAACUUACAAAACUUCUGUUAAAAACAAUGUUUAAUGCCAGACCUAUGGUUAACAGCCAAGCUCCCCUAAGUUAAGGCAUUUUUUGAAACCUUGCUCUGAAGUGACACCCUGUGGUAAACAAUGAUAAAGGCCAACAGUCUUUCCUGAGCAAGAACACAAUCUACCAAAAGAUCCUCUGUGGUUUUCACAGCGCUUUCCCAAGAGCAUGAGAGCCCUUCAGGUGGACAGAGGGCAACACACUCCAGGCUGAUGGAAGACAGAAGAUGAAGAUGUGAUUAAAACCCUAACCAAACUAUUUCUGCAUGAGCAAGCGGGGCACUGUCGAUACUCUCAGAAUCACAGCAGCCGCUCCUUAUAAACCGCUCUGAACUUGCUGAUAUGCUCUGUACUGUAUACACAGCUUAUAUGACACAAAACACAAACCAACUGCUGAGAGAGGUAAUUCAGUGAAUAAACGGCAAAAGUUGGCUUUGAA